rnacentral:misc_RNA from 1 species
AAGUCGUAACAAGGUAUCUGUAGGUGAACCUGCAGAUGGAUCAUUAAAGUAUUAAUAAUCAACACAACCUUGAGCACUGACGCAGUUCCGAGCAGAGAGACCAUUGAAAACCUUCAAGUUUGCAUUUGGUUGGCUCACUCGGUACAGCCAUUAUUAAACUCUACAUUUUUUGAAACGUAGCAUUAAAUUUUAAAGCAAACCAAUUGAAAUACAACCUUUAACAACGGAUCUCUUGGUUCCU